rnacentral:rRNA from 1 species
AGAGUUUGAUCCUGGCUCAGGAUGAACGCUGGCGGCAUGCCUAAUACAUGCAAGUCGAACGAGAGGAAGGAAAGCUUGCUUUUCUGAAUCUAGUGGCGAACGGGUGAGUAACACGUAGGUGACCUGCCCAUGUGCCCGGGAUAACUUCUGGAAACGGAUGCUAAAACCGGAUAGGUAGCAGACAAGCAUUUGACUGCUAUUAAAGUGGCUAAGGCCAUGAACAUGGAUGGACCUGCGGUGCAUUAGCUAGUUGGUGAGGUAACGGCCCACCAAGGCGACGAUGCAUAGCCGGCCUGAGAGGGCGGACGGCCACAUUGGGACUGAGACACGGCCCAAACUCCUACGGGAGGCAGCAGUAGGGAAUUUUCGUCAAUGGGGGGAACCCUGAACGAGCAAUGCCGCGUGAGUGAAGAAGGUCUUCGGAUCGUAAAGCUCUGUUGUAAGAGAAAAACGACAUUCAUAGGGAAUGAUGAGUGAGUGAUGGUAUCUUACCAGAAAGUCACGGCUAACUACGUGCCAGCAGCCGCGGUAAUACGUAGGUGGCGAGCGUUAUCCGGAAUGAUUGGGCGUAAAGGGUGCGUAGGUGGCAGAACAAGUCUGGAGUAAAAGGUAUGGGCUCAACCCGUACUGGCUCUGGAAACUGUUCAGCUAGAGAACAGAAGAGGACGGCGGAACUCCAUGUGUAGCGGUAAAAUGCGUAGAUAUAUGGAAGAACACCGGUGGCGAAGGCGGCCGUCUGGUCUGUUGCUGACACUGAAGCACGAAAGCGUGGGGAGCAAAUAGGAUUAGAUACCCUAGUAGUCCACGCCGUAAACGAUGAGAACUAGGUGUUGGGGGAAUAACUCAGUGCCGCAGUUAACGCAAUAAGUUCUCCGCCUGGGGAGUAUGCACGCAAGUGUGAAACUCAAAGGAAUUGACGGGGGCCCGCACAAGCGGUGGAGUAUGUGGUUUAAUUCGAAGCAACGCGAAGAACCUUACCAGGCCUUGACAUCCCUUGCAGAGGUAUAGAGAUAUAUCCGAGGUUAUCAAGGAGACAGGUGGUGCAUGGUUGUCGUCAGCUCGUGUCGUGAGAUGUUGGGUUAAG